GUGUUUCUCUCCUAGUUUAGUAAUUACUCUCCUCUUCUCCUCAUUUUUUUUUUCAUGUGCCCAAAGUUGGAGCUAACGGGAAAACUUCUCUCUGCCUUCCUGAAUGCUCCCAAUGUAUACAGUUUCCUGUGCAAGAGCCCGGGCUCGAAAACAAAAACAGACGGGUUCUGAAGGAAGAGGGAAGUGGGAGGUGACUGAAGUGAGGGCCUGAAGGGCACAGAUGGGAAAUGGGGGGAAAUGGGGAGGGGUGGCGUGACGAGAUGGACAACACAUGGUUCUUGUUACUAACUGCUACAUAUGUAAUCUUUGUCUUUUUCAGCCGGACUUCAGUUUCUAUUCAAACAAAUAAUGAAUUAAUGGCUAAAAUACACUGAGUCAUGUUAGUUAUAGAACGUAAAUAAUUUCUAUGUAAUAUUUUCCAUGUAAUACAAACACAAUUGCAGGGGGUCAUUAUGCCCAACUCCAUAAAUAGUGAGUCUAUACAUUCACCUGCCACAAUAUAAGGUACACCUUAUAUGUACUGGGUUGGGCCCUACUUUUGCCUUUAGAACUGCCUUAAUUUUUCAUGGAAACAUUCCUCAGGAGACAGCAUCACACAGUUAUUGCUGAUUUCUCAACAUCCAUGAGGUGAAUCUCCUGCCUCUCUCCAGACAUCAGAAGAUGAGUACACUGGAGCCAUAAAGGUAUGGGCAUGGUCAGCAUAAUACUCAGACUAUUCUCUGUAACCCACAGAGGUGAUCGUGUGGGACAAAAUACCAGCUCAGCGAUUUGUUCAACAACCAUUCUAUGUUCAAAAUGACUGAAAUCAGCUGCUACCCCAUUCUGAUGGUCGGUGUGAACUACAGCAAAUCAUCUUGACCAUGACUACAUGCCUUAAUGCGUUGAGUCGCUGUGAUAUGAUUAUACCUAAUAAAAUGGCCAGUGAGUGUA